GACGAACGCUGGCGGCGUGCUUAACACAUGCAAGUCGAACGGAAAGGCCCUGCUUUUGUGGGGUGCUCGAGUGGCGAACGGGUGAGUAACACGUGAGUAACCUGCCCUUGACUUUGGGAUAACUUCAGGAAACUGGGGCUAAUACCGGAUAGGAGCUCCUGCUGCAUGGUGGGGGUUGAAAAGUUUCGGCGGUUGGGGAUGGACUCGCGGCUUAUCAGCUUGUUGGUGGGGUAGUGGCUUACCAAGGCUUUGACGGGUAGCCGGCCUGAGAGGGUGACCGGCCACAUUGGGACUGAGAUACGGCCCAGACUCCUACGGGAGGCAGCAGUGGGGAAUAUUGCACAAUGGGCGGAAGCCUGAUGCAGCAACGCCGCGUGCGGGAUGACGGCCUUCGGGUUUUAAACCGCUUUCGCCUGUGACGAAGCGUGAGUGGCGGUAAUGGGUAAAGAAGCACCGGCUAACUACGUG
rnacentral:rRNA from 1 species